UGGCCCAACCUUCACCACUGAGGAGUACGACGAACUUAUUGCUAUGCUUCGUAAUAAGAAGGGUAACAGUCAGCCUCUAGCACAUGCAACAGGACGUGGAUACGAAGAAGACGAUUGGCCUGGGCAAGCAUUUUGAUGGGCUUUACUACCUCACGCCUACCCAAAAUUCUCACCUUGCUACUCAUGUUCAUCGUACCUCCACGCUUUGGCAUCAACGUCUCGGACAUCCGUCAUCUACACCCCUUCACUCUUUAUCCAAGACCAUUCCUGAAAUAAUGUUUCAUUCUGAGCACAUUUGUGAUGUUUGCCCUUUGGCUAAACAAACCAGAUUACCAUUUACUUCUAGUUCAAUUAAAACAGUUGCACCUUUUGAUCUUAUUCAUUGUGACAUUUGGGGCCCUCAUAAUACCCGUACACAUUCUGGGGCACGUUAUUUUUUGACAAUUGUUGAUGAUUUCACUCGUUUCACUUGGGUU